rnacentral:rRNA from 1 species
GAUGAACGCUAGCGGCAGGCCUAAUACAUGCAAGUCGAACGGUAAGUAGAGUAGCAAUACUUAGCCAAGAGUGUCGUACGGGUGCGUAACACAUAUGCAACCUACCCUAUACAGGAGGAUAGCCUAGGGAAACCUGGAUUAACCCUUCAUAGUAUUAUUGGAUGGCAUCAUUUGAUAAUUAAAACUGAGGUGGUAUAGGAUGGGCAUGCGUCUGAUUAGUUAGUUGGCGGGGUAAUGGCCCACCAAGACGAUGAUCAGUAGGGGUUCUGAGAGGAAGAUCCCCCACACUGGCACUGAGAUACGGGCCAGACUCCUACGGGAGGCAGCAGUAGGGAAUAUUGGUCAAUGGAUGCAAGUCUGAACCAGCCAUGCCGCGUGCAGGAAGAAGGCCUUCUGGGUUGUAAACUGCUUUUGCCAGGGGAUAAAAUUUCCAUGCGUGGAAAACUGAAGGUACCUGGUGAAUAAGCCACGGCUAAACUACGUGCCAGCAGCCGCGGUAAU